UACGUAGGGAGCAAGCGUUACUCGGAAUUACUGGGCAUAAAGGGCGUGUAGGCGGGUGCGUCAGUCCGGUGUGAAAGCCCUCGGCUCAACCGAGGAAGGGCAUUGGAUACUGCGUACCUAGAGUUCGGGAGGGGAGAGUGGAACUCUUGGUGGAGCGGUGAAAUGCGUAGAUAUCAAGAGGAACGCCGGUGGCGAAAGCGGCUCUCUGGCCCGACACUGACGCUGAGGCGCGAAAGCCAGGGGAGCGAACGGGAUUAGAUACCCCCGUA
rnacentral:rRNA from 1 species